rnacentral:tRNA from 1 species
CUGGGGAUAUAGCUCAGUUGGUAGAGUGUCUGCCUUGCAUGCACAAGGCCCUGGGUUCAAUCCCCAGCACCAGA